CCUACGGGACGCAGCAGUUAGGAAUAUUCGUCAAUGGGGGAAACCCUGAACGAGCAAUGCCGCGUGAAGGAUGACGGUCCUAUGGAUUGUAAACUUCUGUUGUUAGGGAAGAACGACCUAAGUAGGAAAUGACUUAGGAGUGACGGUACCUUUCAAGAAAGCUCCGGCUAACUACGUGCCAGCAGCCGCGGUAAUACGUAGGGAGCGAGCGUUAUCCGGAUUUAUUGGGUGUAAAGGGUGCGUAGGCGGCCUUACAGGUCUGUGGUUUAAGCCCGAAGCUUAACUUCGGUUCGCCACAGAAACCG
rnacentral:rRNA from 1 species